UUCCCAUCUCUGCCCUAAUUUUUCUGUUUACUGCUCUGGAUCUUUUGUAGAUGCGUUUUGUUGCUGCGAUUUCCAACUGAGAGCAUUGAAUCUCAGUUUUUUGUUAUCUGUUCUUAAUGAGAUUUGAGCUUCCAUAUCUCUAGAUUGCGUUUUCUCCUCUCUUUUUGGGGGAUUUUGCUGAUUCUAAUAGAUCGGGACGAACUAGGAGAAUUCGUCAUACAAGAAAGCCACUAUAAGUGACCUCUUGGAGGGGCUGAAUAAAACAGUCGCAGUCAUGGGGAAAGUGCUCCUCUUUAUUAGGCACGACAAUAUAGCUCCUCUAUGAGUCUUCUUCCUUCAAUUUUAUCAUGGCUUAUUUGAUUUUGUAUCCAUUAUACUACCAUCUACGCCAUCUCUAACAUAUUCAAAUGACCUUUUAAUGAGUCUUUGUACGUGUGUGUCGUAAAGUUUUGGAGCAUUUAUACUAUGAAAAAACCAGAAUGCGGCCUCUUGAUUUUCUUUUUCUUUUUUUUUUCUUUUAAGAAAAGAAUGGUGAAAGUUAAAGAGUAACUAUGGAAUGAAAGUACCAUUUCACAUUAUGCUCCCUAAAUUUGGCAUGUUUAGGGCCUCUGUUUGGACACGCUUGCACAGAAGGGGGUUUCAGGCCUGCUUUUUUGGUCUACUUCAAGUCACCAUUUAGGCGCCUAUUUUGUCUAGUGGUAUGGUGAAACAGGGGUUUGCAAAGUCCAUCCGAACACAUCAAAAACCCGGAUUUGGCUUAAAAGUAGGUCAAAUGCCCCUUUUGAUGUGUGUCCAAACAGGCCUUUUGGACUUUACAGGUUUUACCCAUAAACUUGAGGUGUCAAACAGGAUGAUACGCUAUGGAUGCAUUCUCUAGGUUGAAGUAUCUGGGUAUCAUGUAUUUUAAUUAGACUUGACUGCAUACAAUACUUGUCUAGGAGAGACUAAAAGUAGUUAAAAGCUAAAGUAUGGCCUGGGUUGAAACUUUAUAACUAAUCAGUUAUUAUUUUGCCGAUACUAUUUGAUAUGUGAUUUAGAUCAGAAUUGUUUCGUUCUUUCGGUGUAUGGGCUGCGGAAUGAUGCUUUAUAGCCUGAAAAGUUCCAAGGCAGAAAGAAAUGUCAUUAGGAUGAAGAAAGGGACAUGAUCGAAGUUCUUCUUACUAAUAUUCAUGGGGUUACUGUUGCUAGAGGAAUUCUCUUGAGUAAGGAUCUGCUCACAAAAGUAGGCGGGUUCCCACUUGGAAAUGGUUUUUGGGAAGUAUAUAUUCAGGUGACAAUUGUACAUGAAGAGACUUUGAUGAGACCCUAUGGACGAUACAGAACAAUUGGAGAUGUGGCUGGAACAAGUAUUUGUUGGCCUGAUUGUUGUUGUUUGGUUGUGACAGCUAUGGAUUAAGCUAAAUGGAGGUAUCUCUCUCUCUCUCUCUCUCUCGUUAUUUUUGAAAACAAAAAAAAAUUGAUUUUGGAGUUGGAUGGGACAACUAUGUUUGUUUCAUGUUAGUAUUUUUUUCACAUUUCAGUUUUCAGAAGUUCAAAGAAGUCAAAUCUCUGAGUUGGUGAAUAGCUGGUUUUGGAAACUGAUUCUUGUCGAAGAAUCGGUUUCUUGGAUUUUGGUUGAAGGGGAUUUGAGCUGUAUUUUACUGAUUUUGUGGAAGCAUUGUGGUGAAUUAGAUGUUUGGUUUUGAAGAUAUUUUGCAUUUUGAUAUCGUUUAGAAGGAAUUGCAGCUGUUUUGAAUGUAGUGAAUUGAUCGAAAUGUCUCAAUUAUGAUAUUUUCUGUAGUUUCUGUCACAGAUUACAUUGAUGUCUUGUUUUACAAAAACAAAGUUGUGGUGGUUUCCAUGUUGUGUGAAAUGUAUGUGGAAAUGUCUCAUAUCAGAAAUACAACUCUUUACAUAUUUGUAGUGGGAUUCCGUCACUAUGUUCUUGAAAUAUUUAGUAGUUUUGCUUGACAAAUCUACAGAGAUUUAUGUUGUGAUUUGUUUCAGCUUUUCAUCUUCUUAUGCAUAACAGAAGGUACACAUAUUUCUAUUAUGAUUUGUUUUGAUUUUUUCUCUGCUUAUGCGUAAAAUGUUCUGAUUUAAAUAUUAAGAACUAUGUAGUGGCUUGAUCCCAAUCUUCCGAACAUUGGGUACGUAGGCAGCCGUUCAUACUAGACCGUAUCGGUGCAGCCACAAAUUCUUCUUUUUUUUU